GUUGUUUCUAAUUAGAAAUGAAGAGAAGAAGGAAGGAGAAGAGGCCUCCGAGCAAUAUCCUGUAUGGUGAUCCCCAUAAGCAGAGUUCUGUGACCUCUGCACAGUGCUCAUCACAGCAUCACAUACAGGAGCACCAGGUGUUGUGACAAGCCCAUGCUGUGUUUCUUUCCUCUGGCCCUGAAC
rnacentral:lncRNA from 12 species